ACUAAGAAUUACAAGAAAUUAUAUUUUCUAAAGCAAAACUUUGAAUGACCUUUAAUGGUGCACUUCCACUCUUCAAUUUUUUUUACAUUGCAACCACGUGAUAUAGGGGGAGAAGCAGUAAUGACGGACGGCCCCUUGAAGCAUAUGUAAAAAAAUGUGAGAAGAAGAGAGAGUGAAAGCAAUGGUUGUGAGAACACAGAUUUAACUCCAUAACUUUUAGAAGCAAUGGUUGUAAGAAUAUAGAUUUUGAAUUUGCAAGAGCUAGUGUUUUCAAAAUAUGUAUAAUAUGGGCUAGGUCGGGUAAAACUUAAAAACAUGAGCCACUUUUUGUUAUGGUGUGAAGUCAUGUGUAUUUUCUUGUAAUUCUUUCAUAAAUUUUCAUGUUUGCUGUCUGCAUUAGGUGAAGAAGUUGGCUUUAUAUGCACUGGAGAAGGCUAUAGCUGAUUUAAAGGACCUUGAAUGUAACGACAGAGUCCAGGUUCAGCAACCACAUUUGAGUACUGAGCUGUCUUGUUCAGACUAAAAAGUGAUUGGAAUAGUUUCAUUCUGUCAUCAUCAUGUACAUAAGCUUGUGAACCACCAGACUAUUAUGUGGUGAGCAUGGAAAGAGUGCCACAAAUGACUCUUGUAUAUCAUCUAAUCUUUACUGUCUCAGCCAAAACUUGGAUGCUAAGCACGUCAGCCCUGAUGCAUCAUCUUACAGUUCCAACUUAGAAGCACUAGGAGACUCAGGGAUAUAUGAAUGGUUUUUGUUUCACAGGGUAAACUAGCAAAGCUUUUAGCUUGUAUCUUAUUUUGAAACUUUUGUUGACCUGAUUUAGUGUGUUUGCCUUUUGAAUCAAA